rnacentral:rRNA from 1 species
GAGUUUGUCCUGGCUCAGAUUGAACGCUGGCGGCAGGCCUAACACAUGCAAGUCGAGCGGUAACAUUUCUAGCUUGCUAGAAGAUGACGAGCGGCGGACGGGUGAGUAAUGCUUGGGAACAUGCCUUGAGGUGGGGGACAACAGUUGGAAACGACUGCUAAUACCGCAUAAUGUCUACGGACCAAAGGGGGCUUCGGCUCUCGCCUUUAGAUUGGCCCAAGUGGGAUUAGCUAGUUGGUGAGGUAAUGGCUCACCAAGGCGACGAUCCCUAGCUGGUUUGAGAGGAUGAUCAGCCACACUGGGACUGAGACACGGCCCAGACUCCUACGGGAGGCAGCAGUGGGGAAUAUUGCACAAUGGGCGCAAGCCUGAUGCAGCCAUGCCGCGUGUGUGAAGAAGGCCUUCGGGUUGUAAAGCACUUUCAGUCAGGAGGAAAGGUUAGUAGUUAAUACCUGCUAGCUAUGACGUUACUGACAGAAGAAGCACCGGCUAACUCCGUGCCAGCAGCCGCGGUAAUACGGAGGGUGCGAGCGUUAAUCGGAAUUACUGGGCGUAAAGCGUACGCAGGCGGUUUGUUAAGCGAGAUGUGAAAGCCCCGGGCUCAACCUGGGAACUGCAUUUCGAACUGGCAAACUAGAGUGUGAUAGAGGGUGGUAGAAUUUCAGGUGUAGCGGUGAAAUGCGUAGAGAUCUGAAGGAAUACCGAUGGCGAAGGCAGCCACCUGGGUCAACACUGACGCUCAUGUACGAAAGCAUGGGGAGCAAACAGGAUUAGAUACCCUGGUAGUCCACGCCGUAAACGAUGUCUACUAGAAGCUCGGAACCUCGGUUCUGUUUUUCAAAGCUAACGCAUUAAGUAGACCGCCUGGGGAGUACGGCCGCUAGGUUAAAACUCAAAUGAAUUGACGGGGGCCCGCACAAGCGGUGGAGCAUGUGGUUUAAUCCGAUGCAACGCGAAGAACCUUACCUACACUUGACAUACAGAGAACUUACUAGAGAUAGUUUGGUGCCUUCGGGAACUCUGAUACAGGUGC